CCGCCUUUCCUCUCGCACAACCAGACUUCCUGCCGGUUUGGCUUCCUUGAGACAGAGGAUCUUGCUCGCCUCAAAGAGGAGGGCAGUUUGCCCCCUUCCUCCUGACUCCAAGACAAAAGAGAGAAGACUGAAGAGUGGGAUCCAGGGCCUCUCAGAGUUCACCUGAGCUUUCCCAAGUCUGGUUUGUUCUCUCUACCCUGCUGCUACUACUGCAAGUGACUUUCACAAGAUGCUUCUGAGCAUAGCAUUGCUCUGCUGUGACCACUGCAGAUGUCAAGAGAAUUUCUGCCUUUUGGAACUUGGACAAUAUUGGCCACCUACCCAGAGAGAGGAGAAGGAUAAUCCAGACAUAAAGGUAGCUCCCACACAUCCUUUGGAUCUCUGAUAAAGAGUCAUAUACUUAAAGAGCCAUCCUCACAUUCCUGCCCAGACUGUGAGCUGCAUGAGAGAGGCCAUGUCUCAUUUUGUUCCAUUACAUCUCCAGCACUUAAGAGUGCUGGACACAUAACGAGUGUCUGACACAUAACGAGUGCUGAAUAAAUGUUUGUUAACUGAUAAAAUG
rnacentral:lncRNA from 10 species